rnacentral:lncRNA from 1 species
ACAAGCUGAAGGGCAACAAGGGCUUGGGAAGCUUGACAAAAGAGGGGAUCUUUCAAUUGGGUCAUUAAGGGUGACUAGGAGUUGCCAAUGGAUGGUAGAGAAAGGACUUUCAGGUGAAAGAAGGUGCAAAGUUAUGGCGAGAAACUAGAUCAGACUUAGAAAAACCUAAGCCCUGUUUUAUGUGAACAUGGAGGAAGGCACAGGGAGGCAAGACUCGGGAGGAAAAGCAGAAAAAGAUGGAUGAAAUGAUAAAUGAAUUUGACAUGGAAGAUUGGGAAGGGAGGAAGUUGACAAUCUGUACUCCUGAAAAUAGGCAUAUAGAAUUAGGGUCGGCAGGGGAUGAACUGCAUCUGAAAUUGGUCCAACCUGGCUGCACAAGGAACUCUUUGGUCAACACAAUUCUUAAAAUUAGAGGGUAUGAGAUGAGAAAGAGAACCAUCUGGGCAUGGAGAAUUGGCACCAAGCAAGAGCAAGGAACCAGACAUCAGUUACGGAAAAUGUAUCCCCACAUCACAUCAUGGGAGCCUAGCUCACAGACACUGCCAAUGGAAAUUGCAGAAAUAGAUCAACU